rnacentral:rRNA from 1 species
GGCGUGCUUAACACAUGCAAGUCGAACGGGAUCCUUGAAUUCGUUCAGGGUGAGAGUGGCGAACGGGUGAGUAACACGUAGGUGACCUGCCCCAAAGAGGGGGAUAACUAUUGGAAACGGUAGCUAAUACCCCAUACCAUCUCUUGAUUUGGAUAUCUGGAGAUGAAAGCUCCGGUGCUUUGGGAGGGGCCUGCGGCCCAUCAGCUUGUUGGUAGGGUAAUGGCCUACCAAGGCUAAGACGGGUAGGGGGCGUGAGAGCGUGACCCCCCACACUGGCACUGACACACGGGCCAGACUCCUACGGGAGGCAGCAGUGAGGAAUAUUGCACAAUGGGCGAAAGCCUGAUGCAGCAACGCCGCGUGGAUGAUGAAGGCCUUCGGGUUGUAAAAUCCUUUUCUGGAGGAAGAGAAAGGACGGUACUCCAGGAAUAAGCGUCGGCUAACUACGUGCCAGCAGCCGCGGUAAAACGUAGGACGCAAGCGUUAUCCGGAUUUAUUGGGCGUAAAGCGCGUGCAGGCGGUAUGGCAAGUCCGACGUGAAAGCUCCUGGCUCAACUGGGAGAGGUCGUUCGAAACUACCACACUUGAGGACCGUAGAGGAGAGUGGAAUUCCCGGUGUAGUGGUGAAAUGCGUAGAUAUCCGGAGGAACACCAGUGGCGAAGGCGGCUCUCUGGCCGUUCCUGACGCUAAGACGC